rnacentral:misc_RNA from 1 species
GAUGAAGACGCAGCGAAAUGCGAUAAGUAGUGUGAAUUGCAGAAUUCAGUGAAUCAUCGAAUCUUUGAACGCACAUUGCGCCCCUUGGUAUUCCAUGGGGCAUGCCUGUUCGAGCGUCAUUUGUACCUUCAAGCUCUGCUUGGUGUUGGGUGUUUGUCUCGCCUCUGCGUGUAGACUCGCCUCAAAACAAUUGGCAGCCGGCGUAUUGAUUUCGGAGCGCAGUACAUCUCGCGCUUUGCACUCAUAACGACGACGUCCAAAAGUACAUUUUUACACUCUUGACCUCGGAUCAGGUAGGGAUACCCGCUGAACUUAAGCAUAUCAAUAAGCGGAGG